CCACUUGACCUUGACAAUAGUGUGGAUGAAUAUCAGUUCUUUACACAAGCUCUGUUAACUGUGCAGAAUCGGGAUGCUGCCUGGUACCAGUUGCUGUUAGCCCCUCUCAGUGAGGACCAGAAGAGAACACUGCAGGAGGUGUACACAUUGGCAGAGCACCGAAGGACGGUGGCAGAGGCAAAGAAGAAGAUUGAACAACAGGGAGGCUUCACAUUUGAAAACAAAGGAGUUCUCUCUGCCUUUAACUUUGGGACUGUGCUGGGCAACAACUGAAGGAAGGACAUCAGCUGACCAGACGUCUUCGCUGUGUUUUAUCUCACAAUUUCACAAAGGGAGUGUGAGAGUCAAGGGGAGAUAUUAGGGGGCUGCUCUUCAGGGCUCUCCUGCUGUACCAGUUAUCAUCUGGCAUUAGGCAGUACUUUUAUCCACUCUCCCUUUCCCCUUUGACCUUUCUCACCCUGAAAUAUAUAUUUUCAACAGCUACUGUAAUGUAUGAAAUUAAAGAAAAACAGAAUCAUUGCAUUGAAAAGGACAAACCAUAUGCUCCAAAGGCUGACAGCCUAUGGUGGUUUUUAGAGGAUUGGAUUGACUUGCAGGUCUCAGGUUUUUGCCAUGCAGAAUCCAUGGAUUUAUGUGGAUAACAGUGCCUUCUAUUGUACAUGAAUUAUCAGAAAAAUUUUUUUGGAGUGCAUUGCAAUUUUUUAAAGCAUGAAACAUAUUUCUAGAUAUAAUGUAAACCUUGGUUAUAUGUCGACUUAUUCUGCAUUUUACUCUGUGAAUUUACUGUUAGGCAGUUAGCUGCAAGUCGCUCUGGUUUCAAAAACAUCACUCUCCCUUUGCCCACCCUGCUAUGGGGGCUUUCUUCAGGGGUUGUAAAAUAUGCUCUGGCUCUGGUUUUUCAUAAGUUGUUUUUUGGCUUUCCUAAGAAAUGUCUUAUUCCCUCUUCCAUCAUAUUUUUCUUCCUUGAAAGGGGUGGGAUUUCUUUCAGGAUCAACAAAUAUGCAUAUCGAUUUUAUCAGAACCUGAUACGUUCAGGACUCAGGAGCUUCUUGGAAGCAAGUGGCAGAGGCUCAUUAGUCACUGGAGUUAACAGCAAGUCUGAAGAUAUUCUGAAUCAUGUACUUAAUUAUGCAGUGAAGUAAUGAUUUUACCUAAAGCACAUUGAACUUUUAGGAGAAAGAUGCUGCGUAGCACAGUGUCUUUCUGGAUGGGGGCUUGUAUCUUCAGUAACUCAUCAUUCCAGCUGUGGUGGACCAGGGUCUGAACCAUUUUAUAAUGAAAUUGUUUAUUUAGUCACACGACUUAAACAAGUGUAACUUGCUUUCCCACACUUCUGAUUUUUCUCCUACAUAUCUUGUUUUCGUUUUUAUUAUAGCUCUGUUUGUAAGGGUUGGGUAUAUUGGUCAGUUGUAUUUUUAGAUGGGUAAUGAUCUAGGACGGCUUUUAAUAAAUAUUGCAGAUGGAGAAUUUUUCUGAACUGUUCAAGACCAGAACAUGGAUCACAGUGUGUUCAUUCAGUAAAAUGAAAAUGUAUCUUGAGAA